GACCUGAUGGCACAAUGGUUAGUGCAUCUGUUGCAUUUACCUCAAGUGGGCAUUUUUUCGGCAGAAGGUCCCCGUUCGACUCGGGGUCAGGUCA